rnacentral:rRNA from 1 species
GACGAACGCUGGCGGCGUGCCUAAUACAUGCAAGUAGAACGCUGAAGGAGGAGCUUGCUCUUCUGGAUGAGUUGCGAACGGGUGAGUAACGCGUAGGUAACCUGCCUGGUAGCGGGGGAUAACUAUUGGAAACGAUAGCUAAUACCGCAUAAGAGUAGAUGUUGCAUGACAUUUACUUAAAAGGUGCAAUUUCAUCACUACCAGAUGGACCUGCGUUGUAUUAGCUAGUUGGUGGGGUAACGGCUUACCAAGGCGACGAUACAUAGCCGACCUGAGAGGGUGAUCGGCCACACUGGGACUGAGACACGGCCCAGACUCCUACGGGAGGCAGCAGUAGGGAAUCUUCGGCAAUGGACGGAAGUCUGACCGAGCAACGCCGCGUGAGUGAAGAAGGUUUUCGGAUCGUAAAGCUCUGUUGUAAGAGAAGAACGAGUGUGAGAGUGGAAAGUUCACACUGUGACGGUAUCUUACCAGAAAGAGACGGCUAACUACGUG